UACGUAUGGUGCAAGCGUUAUCCGGAUUUACUGGGUGUAAAGGGAGCGCAGGCGGAAGGCUAAGUCUGAUGUGAAAGCCCGGGGCUCAACCCCGGUACUGCAUUGGAAACUGGUCAUCUAGAGUGUCGGAGAGGUAAGUGGAAUUCCUAGUGUAGCGGUGAAAUGCGUAGAUAUUAGGAGGAACACCAGUGGCGAAGGCGGCUUACUGGACGAUAACUGACGCUGAGGCUCGAAAGCGUGGGGAGCAAACAGG
rnacentral:rRNA from 1 species